GUAGUCUCCGGCCGUGCGGCCUCGGGGCCCGGCUCUCAGCGCCCUCCAGCAGAGCCCCGCGGCCAGCCUCGGGCCGCAAUGGACAUGACACCCCACGAAGCCGAAGGAGUCCUCCCGGGGAGAUGAGCCCGGCCUCGGCCCCUCCUUCGGACGCGGCGUAGCGGGCGCCCGGGGCGGGGGGAAGCGCUCCUCACAGACCCUGUGGGGGCCGCGGCCCAGGAUGGGUUGGACUGCAACGGACGCGAUUAGCAACGCGAAAAAUAGGAGCUGCGUGCAUGACUGUGACUGCCCGGAGCCGCGAACGCAGCCUGGACCUUAUCCCUGAGGCAGGACGGCCCCUCGGACCCCCCGACCGAGAUGUACGCUGGGAACUGUAGUCCGCGCGGGGACCUGGCGCUGCAGGGGGCGGCCCCCAAACAGCGGGCUGCGGGCGUCGGCGGGUGGUUGGAGCAAGUUAGGGGUCGGGCCGGUGGCGGGACUCUGCGGGGAAGAUGGGGCUGGGAGGAUGUGUUUAGUGUCCCUGGGGAUGUCACAGCCACGUCUGCUUUCCCCACCAGCUCUGGGUUCCUCUGCUGAAGUCAGAACUCCUGCUCUUGAGAAUCCCCGAUUCCUAUUUUAUAGGAGUUUCAAUUUCGGGGAGCUUAAUGUGCAUGUUGUAUUCAGUGCUUUGUACACGUGGUAUCGUUAAGUCUUCACAAAGAGCCCCAUUUUACAGAUGACUCAUAGAGAAGUGAAGUCAUUUGUGCAAGGCUACAGAGCUAUAAAUGGCAAAGCAAAAAUGAAAGGCAGUUUUAAAAAUUAACAACCAGGCCGGGCGCGGUGGCUCACGCCUGUAAUCUCAGCGCUAUGGGAGGCCAAGGCGGGCGGAUCACGAGGCCAGGAGUUCGUGACCAGCCUGGCCAGCAUGGUGAAACCCCCGUCUCUACUAUUUAAAAAAAAAAAAAAAAAUUAGCCGGGCGUGGUGGUGUGCGCCUGUAAUCUAUCCCAGCUACUCGGGAGGCUGAGGCAGGAGAAUCGCUUGAACCUGGGAGGUGGAGGUUGCAGUGAGCCAAGAUCACGCCACAGCACUCCAGCCUGGACGACAGGGCAAGACUCCGUCUCAAAAUAAAUAAAUAAAUAAAUAACCAUCGCCACGAUUAACAAAAACAACAACAACAAAAAAAAAAACAACAAAAAACAAACAAACAAAAAACCCACUGCCUUUCUAUUUAAAGAAUGAGGAAAGUAGGUCCCGCAGAGGUUCAGUGACUUCUUCAAGAUCUCUAAGCUUGUAAGAGGCAAAAUUCUGGGUCUUUUUACUUGGCCUCUCCUGAGUGGUAUGGGGUCUAGAGGGAGGAGAGAAGAAGAGGAAAUAAGAGGGACUCUAGUGCCCAAACUCCAGAGAACUGCCCCUCAGGGUCCUUGGGGAAUUGUUCCAUUGUCAGAGGGAAGUGGGUUACCUGGUCUCCUGGCUACCUAGCAGGGACACUCGGAGCAUAUCAAAAAUGCUUGUUGGAAGAGAGAGCCCCAGCUUCAUUCUGAGUAUAAGUGUUUCUGCUAUAACCUGCUAUAUGCAUUCUUAAAAAACCUUCAGUUCUUCAAAACGGUGCACUAAAAUUAACAAGACUUCAUGGAAAAAAUAGAGUUAGAGACAGAUUGCUCAAAAUAUAUGCAACUAGCUGGGCACGGUGGCUCAUGCCUGUAAUCCCAGCACUUUCAGAGGCCGAGGAGGGAGAAUUACUGGAGUCCAGGAGUUUCAGACUAGCCUGGGCAACAUAGGGAGACUCCGUCUCUACAAAAAAAUAAAAAAUUAGGCGGGUGUGGUGGUGUGCACCUGUGUUCCCAGCUACUCGGGAGACUGAGGUAUAGGGGUAUUACCUGAGCCCAGGAGGUCGAGGCUACUGUGAGCUGUGAUUGUGGCACUGACUGCACUCCAGCCUGAGAGACAGAGCGAGACCCUGACUCAAAAAAAAAAAAGUAAAAAUAAAAACCUGUAUACAACUUUUUUUUUUUUUGAGAUGGAGUCUCACUCUGUUGCCAGGCUGGAGUGCAGUGGCACGGUCUUGGCAUACCACAACCUCCGACUCCCUGGUUCAAGUGAUUCUCCUGCUUCAGCCUUCCGAGUAGUUGGAAUUACAGGUGGGCGCCACCAUGCCCAGCUAAUUUUUGUAUUUUUAGUAGAGACAGGGUUUCACCAUGUUGGCCAGGAUAGUCUCGAUCUCCUGACCUCGUGAUCCGCCCGCCUUGGCCUCUCAAAGUGCUGGGAUUACAGGUGUGAGGCACCAUGCCCGGCCUCUUGUAUACAACUUUAUAUUCAGAGUGCUACAAAACCAAUAAUGAUGCUAAUAGAAACACUAGAAUAGGUAAAUUUCCAUGAGCAUUUGCUUUCAGCAGCACUUUGCAGCCUUGAAGGUGGGGCUUAUGCUUCCUCUUUGGGGAUGCUGGUUGGAGAUAUUAACUAUUGAUGGGGAUCAUUUUCAUCAAAACUCGAAAUGUGAUCCAAGGUGUGAUCUUUUUCAUUAAUCUGUUAUUUUAAUAUGGGAGAAAUAUAUUUGCAAUUUCUUCAUCUGCAUUCAUGGAUUUGCCAUAGGCAUAACACUGUGACAAAUAUGGUGGUCUUUGAAGUCACUAAACCAGCCACCGUGGAUCCAAAGGAAGACACUUCUGUAGAUUUGCAGCUUUUUCCUCUGAAGAUCUUCUUUUAGUACUAAGGCUUCCCCUUUAACUGUGAGAAAGCUUGGCCCUGAUUGCUUCAAAAUGUUAACUUCCUGGAGAAAAUUGCAUGUUAACCAACAUGCUUGUGUUAUGCUGACAUCAUUACUCUGUUUACCAAUCAUUUAUGGGGUGAUUCAUCUCAAAGAAGCAAAUAGAGGGUGGGGGCGGUGGCUCACACACCUGUAAUCGCAGCACUUUGGGAGGCUGAGGCAGGCAAAUCACCUGAGGUCAGGAGUUUGAGACCAGCCUGGACAACAUGGUGAAACCUCAUCUCUACUAAAAAUACAAAAAUUAGCCAGGCGUGGUGGCAGGUGCCUGUAAUCUCAGCUACUCAGGAGGCUGAGGCAGGAGAAUCGCUUGAACCUGGGAGGCGGAGGUUGCAGUGAGCCGAGAUCGAGCCAGUGUACUCUAGCCCGGACGACAGAGGGAGACUCUGGAAGAAGCAAAUGGGCUGCAGAACAGGUUGUCUCUGGGCCCGGUGCGGUGGCUCACGCCUGUAAUCCCAGCACUUUGGGAGGCCAAGGCGGGUGGAUCACAAGGUCAGGAGUUCAAGACCAGCCUGGCCAACAUGGUGAAACCCUGUCUCUACUAAAAAUACAAAUUUAGUCAGGGCAUGGUGGCAGUCACCUGUAAUCCCAGCUGCUCGGGAGGCUGAGGCAGGGGAAUCGCUUGAACCGGGUGGCAGAGGUUGCAGUGAGCCGAGAUUGCGCCACUGCACUCCAGCCUGGUGACAGAGUGAGACUCCAUCUCAAAAAAAAAAAGAAAAAAAAUUAUCUUGGAUUUGGCUGCCUUGUUGAACUCACUCUUGCUUGUUCUAGAAUAGCUUGACAGAUAAUUCUCUUCGAUUUUCUAGCUAGAUGAUCCUGUUGUCCAGAAAAAAGAAAAAAAUUACAGCUUUAAAAAAUCUGAUGUCUAUGCUUUUUUUCUUAAUCCUCUCCUCUUUGGCUAGGAGUUCCAAUACAAUGUUGAAUGGCAGUGGUAUUAAUGGACAAUUCUUGUCUUGUCCUAGACAUUUAAGGGAAUGAUCCUAAGGUUUCAUCAUUAAAUAUGAUGCUUUCAGUAGAUUUCUAGUAGAAGUCCUUUAUCAGGUUCUAUUCCUAACUUGCUAGAGAUUUUUCUUUCUUUCUUUCUUUCUUUCUUUUUUAAAUGCAGGUGUUACAUUUUAUCAAAUGCUUUUUAUGCAUUUAUUUAUGCAAUCAGAUGGUUUUUCUGCCUUUAAUCCAUUAAUGUUGAUUAUCUCCUCUUUCUUGCUUUCACCAUUGCUGGAUUUGAUUUAAUAAUACUUUAUUUAGGGUUGUUUUGCAUUUCUUUUCUUUUCUUUUCUUUUUUUUUUUUUUUUGAGACAGCCUUGCUGUGUCAUCCAGGCUAUAGUGCAGUGGUGAUAUCUCAGCUCACCCACCUCCUGGGUUCAAGCGAUUCUCCCACCUCAGCCUCCAGAGCUGAGACUAUAGGCGCAUGCCACUGUGCCCAGCUAAUUGUUACAUUUUUAGUAGACAUGGGGUUUUGCCAUGUUGGCCGGAGUGGUCUCCAAAUCCUGGCCUCAAGGAAUCCACCUGCCUUGGCCUCCCAAGGUGCUGGGAUUACAGGCAUGAGCCACUGUGCCUGGCCUGCAUUUGUUUUCAUAAAUGGAAUUUUCUGGUGUUAUUCUUGCCUAGUUUUGACAUUGGCGGAAUGCUAGCCCUAUUCAAUGAGUUGGGGAGCUUUUUUUUUUUUUUGUGGUGAGAACACUUAAGACCUACCCUUAUAACAAAUUUCAAGUAUACAAUAAAAUCUUAUUAACGAUAGUCGUGUCAUUGUACAUUAGAUCUCUAGAACUUAUUCAUCUUGCAUAACUGAUAUUUUGUAUCCCUUGACUAAUAUCAAGUCAACUUUUUAUUUUUUAAUCUUUUUUUAAGAUGGAGUCUCGCUCUGUCGCCCAGGCUGGAGUGCAGUGGCACAAUCUUGGCUCACUGCAACCUCCACCUCCUGGGUUCAAGUGAUUCUCCUGCCUCAGCCUCCCUAGUAGCUGGGAUUACAGGCAUAAGCUACUAUGCCCACCCAGCUAAUUUUUGUAUUUUCAGUAUAGACUGAGUUUCGCCAUGAUGACCAGGCUGGUGCUGAAAUUACAGGCAUGCGCCAUUUCUGACCUCAAGUAAUCCGCCCUCCUUGGCCUCCCAAAGUGCUAGGAUUACAGGCAUGAGCCACCUCGCCCAGCUGUGUUAAUUUUUUCAAUGAUGUUCUGAUGUCCUUGUUUGGAAGAAAUCUUUAAAUUUCAUGUAGUCAAACCCGUCACAUUUUCACCAUAUGUGCUUUCUGGGUUGAAGAAUCUUUGCUCACUCCAAAGCCAUAACAAUAUUCUACAUUUUUCUAGCAGCUGUUAUGGGUUGAAUUGUGUUCUUCCAAAAGGAUAUGUUGAAUUCCUACUCCCAGUACCUCAGAAUGUGACUGUAUUUAAAACAAGGUCGUUGCAGAUGUAAUUAGUUAAGAUGAGGUCAUACUAGAGUAGGGUGGGCUGCUAAUGCCGUAUCACUGUUGUCCUUAUAAGAAGACAGCCUGGUUGGGCGCCGUGGCUCACACCUAUAAUCCCAGCACUCUGGGAGGCCAAGGUGGGAGAAUCACUUGAGCCCAGGAGUUCAAGAUCGGCCUGGGCAACACAGUGAGACCCCGUCUCUAUAAAUAAAUAAAUAAAAAGAAGAUAGCCAUGUGAGGACACACACACACACACACACACACACACACACACACACACACACACACACGGAAUGCCAUAUGACAACAAAGGCAGAGAUUAGAGUUAUGCAGCUACAAGCGAAGCAACUCCAAAGGCUGCCAAUAAAUCAUCAGAAGCUAAGACCAGGUGAGGAAGGAUUCCCCUGCAGGGUUCAGAGCGGGCAUGGCCUUGCUGACACCUUGAGUUUGGACUGCUGGCUUCCAGGAAUGGGGAGACAAUAGAUUUCUGUUGGGUUAAGCCACCCAGUUUGUGGUACUUUAUGGCAGCCCUAGGAAAUUAACAUACAGUCCUAGCCUUCUGGUUUUACCUUCCUUAUUUAGGUUUCUAGCCCAUUUAUUUGACCUUUGUAUUAUGGAGAGAGGUGGGGAACUAACUUUACUUUUCUCCUUACAAGUGCCAGGUUCCCUAAUACUAUCUCUAACAAUCUCUCUCUUUUCUUCUUCUUUUUUUUUUUUGACUUUGAGACAGGGUCUCAAUCUGUUGCCCAGGCUGGAGUGCAGUGGUGCGAUCUCGGCUCACUGCAACCUCUGCCUCCUAGGCUCAAGCGAUCCUCCCACCUCAGCCUCUCCAGUAGCUGAGACCACAGGUACACGCCACCACGCCUGGCUAAUUUUUUAAAUUUUUAGUAGAGACGAGGUCUUGCUAUGUUGCCCAGGCUGGCCUCGAACUCCUGGGCUCAAGUCAUCCUCCUGCCUGAGGCUCUCAAAGUGCUGGGAUUACAGGUGUGAACCACUGUGCCUGGCCACACCCUGUAUAAUUUCUUCCAAUAUGUGCCUAGUUUCUUUUCUUUUUAGCUGUGCUGUAAUCGAUUUCAUUUGUUCACUGGGUUUUAAAGUUUUCACUUAUAUAAUUUUUAGUUUUUCCUCUUCAAAUCUUCCUUGACAGUUUUAAUAAUCAGCUUUUCCUUCAGUAUUUUUAAAGCUCUGCCAUUAAUUUCUUUAAAGAUUUACUGUAUUUAUUUUAUAUUCUGUACAGCAUACUUCCAGUGGCUGUGCCAUUUGUGAGUCUGAUUCUGAGGCUUAUUGCUUCUGCUUAUGUAGUUUAUUUCCUGUUAGUGAUUUUUUAAAAUAUCAACUUAUGUUCCUUGGGAUUUUAUAUGAGGAAUUUUUUUUUUUGAGAUGGAGUCUCGCUAUCUUGCCCAGGCUAGAGUGCAGUGGCACAAUCUCAGCUCACUGCAACCGAGAUCUCCCUCCUGGGUUCAAGCGAUUCUCCUGCCUCGGCCUCCCAAGUAGCUGGGAUUAUAGGAGCCUGCCACCACGCCUAGCUAAUUUUUGUAUUUUUAGUAGAGACAAGGUUUCACCAUGUUGGCCAGGCUGAUCUGGAACUCCUGAUCUUCCCACUUUGGCCUCCCAAAAUGUUGGGAUUAUAGGUGUGAGCCACCGUGGCCAGCCCUAAGGAAAUUCUUGAAAGCCCAGGUUUAAAUGCAUUUUCCUGGCUAGGUGCAGUGGCCCAUGCCUGUAAUCCCAGCACCUUGGGAAGCUGAGGUAAGAGGAUUGCUUGAACCCAGAAGGUCAAGUUUGCAGUGAGCUAUGACUGAGCCACUGCACUCCAGCCUGGGCAACAGAUCAAGAUCCCAUCUCUACAGCAACAACAACAAAAGACUUUUUUUUUUGGACUCUUUUCAGUCUUUUAUUUACCAUACUCUCUUUUUUUCUCCUUUCCUUGCUUCCAUGAAUACAUUGAUUAUUUUCUACUUCUGAUUUGAAAAUUAUUUAAUUUAAAAAAAUUUUAAA
rnacentral:lncRNA from 10 species